rnacentral:ncRNA from 1 species
CAUCAAAAACCAAGUCUCUAAGCAAUGGAUGUCUUGGCUCCUCACACGAUGAAGAACGUGGCAUAAUGUGUUAAGUAACCGGAGUUGCAAACAUCAUGACAGGUUAAUCUUUGAAUGCAAAUUGCGCUAAACUCGAUCUCGGUCGAGAAGCAUGGGUGUGACAGUACUACAUCUUUUAUAAUAAUUCUUAUUCUAAGCGAAUAAGUAAAUAAUAUAUAAGACAAACAACACGUAGUCUGCCAUACGCAGGAAGACCCGCUGAACUGAAGCAUCUCAUUAAGCGGAGGAAAAGAAACUAACUAGGAUUCCCUUAGUAAAGGCGAUCGAAAAGGGAACAGCCCAACGUCUUAAUCCCGCAAGGGAAAUGUAGUCGGUUCACCUAUUGCACUGGUCUAAGUCAGAUGGAAUGCUGCGCGAUUCAGAGUAAAAGCCUCGUAUGACCAACCGCAAGCUUACGAUGGACCGGGGAGAGUCGGAUACUUUGAGAGUAGUGUCUUAAGGGGGUGGUAUGUCCCAUCCAAGGCUAAAUAACGUGAGGAGACCGAUAGAUUACAAGUAGUGUGAACGAAAGAGAAAAGAA